CGGCUAUUUGCUCUUCUUUAUUUGUUUUCUCCUCCGAGGAAGGAGGAAAACGGAGAGAAAAGGAAAGGGAAAGAAGCGUCGCUGGCCGCGUCUCCCGGUGCCCGCCGGCCGCGCAGAGCGUGGCGGGAGGAGAGGUAUAUACACAAAAGAAUGGAAAGCAGGAUCUUGAAGAGAUAUUUGCAUGUAGCAGCGUUAUUCACAACAGCCAAGAGGUGGUAACAACCCAGAUAUCCACUGAUGGAUGAGUGGAUAAACCAAACAUGGAGAAUGGUAAUCACUUUUUCCUCAUGGUCUGAGUUAAAUAGGAACAUCCAGUCACCCCAAAUACUUCAUUUGUUCAGCUAAGUUUCAUCAAGCUUCUAAGAGGGAAGGAGCUUGACAUGUACGUGCUACAUGGGGAAGUAUGCAGGGGCCUCUUCUUUCUCCUGAGGAACUCAAUUUAUUUGCCCUGCAGCCUCCAUUCCCACUUCAUGUUGCCAGUGAAAGUUAUCUUCAUGUCUUCCAGUUUGAUUUUGUUUCUUCUGGGUUAACUGGCCUCUUUGGGUUAACAGUUUCUUUCUGUGCAUAAAGUUCAAACUUCUUAUCAAAGAGAUUUCUCCCCUUGUUCAAGGACUCUUCUCUCCUCCUUUCUGUGCAUUCAGAUGGGAGUGGGGUGUUUUCCAGCCCCAAGGCCCUGGGGGACGGUUCCUAGCUCUCCAGUUGAGGGGUGUAACCCAGGGGAGCCCUAGUCUUGUAGUGGUGGGACAGGAAUAAUCUCAGCACAGACAAGACGGAGGUAUUUUCCUGGAGGCCUAGCCAUUACCCUGCCGACCAGCCUGGCACAGCUAGCCCUCUGAGAUGCUGCCGUGUUCCCCACAGCCCUGUCCUGCCCACAGGGCCACCUUCCCCUGUGGAAGCACAGGAGCUGGUAAAUGCCAGGUGCUUUCUGUGUUCCUCACCAAGCCGUGGAUUCUGUCUAGGCCACAAUGUCGGCAGAGCACUCUUACCACCGGCCAUUAAUCCAGUCACUUUCCUCCGCCACCCCGCCACCCACAGUUUGGAGGGAGACAGGCAGCAAGAGCUGGUCUGUAUUCCCCCUCCACCCAUGGGAGUUGUCAUCUCUACUCCUGUGCUCCUUCAAAAGAGAAUAAAGUGCAUCUGUCUAGGAGAUCUAAUGGUUGCAUUUAAUUUAAUAGAUAAUUAAAACAGAGAAAACCAUCAUGAUUCCUUGUUGCCUUGGCUCAUAGGAAACUCAGUCAAAUGCAGUGCUCAAGGAUGCCAGCCGGCCUAUUGUCCUGUCCAGGAAGCAACAUGGUCCUUCCUCCAUGAGAAGUGAUCAUGAUCUUGCUAUGAGAGAAGAGAGGUUUGUGUUGUUUGAAAAGGCCUAUUAAAUAUUACCAUAUAAUUUCAUAUCUGGAAAACAAAAUAUCAAUUGUUCUGAUCAUACAAUUAUGGAAAAUAAAGCUCAAUAAACUCUUGCUCUGUGAUGAUAUGCAGAUGAUUGCUUCCUGGGCUUGAUAAAACUGGAUAAGAAGCUGUUGGAAGGACCUUCUGAUUGCUGUUUUUGACUUUUUGAUUAACUGUGGAGUUGUAUAUAUGUUUUUACUAUACGCAUCUAAAAUACU